rnacentral:ncRNA from 1 species
ACCAAGGAGUCUAACAUGUAUGCAAGCAGGUGGGCGGCAAACCCAUUGAUGCGCAAGUAAACUGACAGGUGGGACCCCCGUAAAAAAGGGUGCACCAUCGACCGACCGUGAUCUUCUGUGAAAGGUUUGAGUGUGAGCAUACCUGUUGGGACCCGAAAGAUGGUGAACUAUGCCUGAGCAGGGCGAAGCCAGAGGAAACUCUGGUGGAGGCUCGUAGCGAUACUGACGUGCAAAUCGUUCGUCAGACUUGGGUAUAGGGGCGAAAGACUAAUCGAACCAUCUAGUAGCUGGUUCCCUCCGAAGUUUCCCUCAGGAUAGCUGGAGCUCGUGUAAGAGUUUUAUCAGGUAAAGCGAAUGAUUAGAGGCAUCGGGGGUGUAACACCCUCGACCUAUUCUCAAACUUUAAAUAGGUAAGCCGCCGGGGUUGCUUGGUUGAACCCCGGCACAGAAUGAGAGCUCCAAGUGGGCCAUUUUUGGUAAGCAGAACUGGCGAUGCGGGAUGAACCGAAAGCCGGGUUACGGUGCCAAAUUGCGCGCUAACCUAGAUCCCACAAAGGGUGUUGAUUGAUUAAGACAGCAGGACGGUGGUCAUGGAAGUCGAAAUCCGCUAAGGAGUGUGUAACAACUCACCUGCCGAAUCAACUAGCCCCGAAAAUGGAUGGCGCUUAAGCGCGCAACCUACACCCGGCCAUUGNGGCGAGUGCGAGGCUUCAAUGAGUAGGAGGGCGUGGGGGUCGUGGAGCAGCUUUGGGCGUGAGCCCGAGUGAAACGGCCCCUAGUGCAGAUCUUGGU